AGCAGCCGCCUCUCAGCCACGGGCUGCACACUGACCCGACGCGACCUUCGGUCAGGGGCCGCCAGCCUGGGCCACCUAUACAACGACAGCCUGCUCCGGGGCUUCCUGAGGAGGUGCCUGCCCCGCCGAGGUUCAACAGCUUUGGAGAGCAGGACAUCUUUUCCUCUCAGCCUGGCCCUCUGCAAUGGAGGCCAUAAAUAGGCCAGUAGUGGAAGCUACAGAACACGUGAGCAUGGCAGGGGCUGAGCUCCAUUUCAAGGCUUGUAAGGACCCUUGUGAUGACAUUGGUCCUACCCAGACUACCUAGGAUAAUCUCCCAUCUCAAAGUCCUCAUCUUAAUCCCAUCUGCAAGGUCCCUUUUGCAAUUUAAGAUAACAUAUUCAACAGGUUCCGGGAAUGAGAACAUGGAUGUCUUUGGAGAGCCAUUAUUCUGCCUACCACAGAUAUAACCUGGCUGUUACCACCAAGGGUUGGAAUGAGGAUCAUUCUGGGACUGCUGCAAGAGGCUGGAAACUGGAACCAAGUGCUACCUUCAUGGUAAGAAGC
rnacentral:lncRNA from 1 species